UGGAUGAUGUGGAUUAAUUCGAUGCAACGCGAAGAACCUUACCUGGGUUUGACAUAUAGGUUGUAGGGAACUGAAAGGGACCGACCUUCGGGAGCCUAUACAGGUGUUGCAUGGCUGUCGUCAGCUCGUGUCGUGAGAUGUUCGGUUAAGUCCGCUAACGAGCGCAACCCUCGUCGUAUGUUAUAUGUGUCAUACGAGACUGCCGGUAAAAGCCGGAGGAAGGUGAGGAUAAUGUCAAGUCAGCAUGACCUUUAUAUCCAGGGCUACACACACGCUACAAUGGUCUGUACAAUGGGUAGCCAAGCCGCGAGGCGGAGCCAAUCCUGAAAGCAGGCCUCAGUUCAGAUUGCAGUCUGCAACUCGACUGCAUGAAGCCGGAGUUGCUAGUAACCGCAGGUCAGCAAUACUGCGGUGAAUACGUUCCCGGGUCUU
rnacentral:rRNA from 1 species